AGUAAAAGUCGUAACAAGGUUUCCGUAGGUGAACCUGCGGAGGGAUCAUUACUGAUUUGCUUAAUUGCACCACAUGUGUUUUUUAUUGAACAAAUUUCUUUGGUGGCGGGAGCAAUCCUACCGCCAGAGGUUAUAACUAAACCAAACUUUCUAUUUACAGUCAAACUUGAUUUAUUAUUACAAUAGUCAAAACUUUCAACAACGGAUCUCUUGGUUCUCGCAUCGAUGAAGAACGCAGCGAAAUGCGAUACGUAAUAUGAAUUGCAGAUAUUCGUGAAUCAUCGAAUCUUUGAACGCACAUUGCGCCCUUUGGUAUUCCAAAGGGCAUGCCUGUUUGAGCGUCAUUUCUCCCUCAAACCCCCGGGUUUGGUGUUGAGCAAUACGCUAGGUUUGUUUGAAAGAAUUUAACGUGGAAACUUAUUUUAAGCGACUUAGGUUUAUCCAAAAACGCUUAUUUUGUUAGUGGCCACCACAAUUUAUUUCAUAACUUUGACCUCAAAUCAGGUAGGACUACCCGCUGAACUUAAGCAUAUCAAUAAGCGGAGGAAAAGAAACCAACAGGGAUUGCCCUAGUAACG
rnacentral:rRNA from 1 species